GCGCGAAGCGCCGGAGGGGGAACAAGUCCUGGCCCGGCCUCUUCCCCCUCCGUCGUCUCUU
rnacentral:sRNA from 1 species